AUACGGGGGGUGCGAGCGUUAAUCGGAAUUACUGGGCGUAAAGCGCGCGUAGGCGGUUUGCUCAGUCGGAUGUGAAAGCCCAGGGCUCAACCUUGGAACUGCAUACGAUACUGGCAAACUAGAGUGUGAGAGAGGAUAGUGGAAUUUCCGGUGUAGCGGUGAAAUGCGUAGAUAUCGGAAGGAACAUCAGUGGCGAAGGCGACUGUCUGGCUCAACACUGACGCUGAGGUGCGAAAGCGUGGGUAGCAAACAGGAUUAGAUACCCCAGUAGUCC
rnacentral:rRNA from 1 species